CCCCAGCGCCCCAAGUGGCAAUCACGAUUAUUGGGCCUAAAGCGUCCGUAGCCGGAUAGGUAAAUCCGCUGUGAAAUCGUCGCGCUUAACGUGACGGCACGCAGCGGCAACUGCCUGUCUCGAGACCGGGAGGGGUCAGAGGUAUGCCGUGGGGACUGGUAAAAUGGAUUAAUCCACGGUAGACCACCAAUGGCGAAGGCAUCUGACCAGAACGGAUCUGACGGUGAGGGACGAAAGCCAGGGGAGCGAACCG
rnacentral:rRNA from 1 species